rnacentral:rRNA from 1 species
UACAGAGGGGGCAAGCGUUAUUCGGAAUUAUUGGGCGUAAAGGGCGCGUAGGCGGCUUAGCAAGUGACGGGUGAAAUCCCUCGGCUUAACCGAGGAACUGCCUGUCAAACUGCAUGGCUUGAGACCGGGAGAGGUGAGUGGAAUUCCCAGUGUAGCGGUGAAAUGCGUAGAUAUUGGGAGGAACACCAGUGGCGAAGGCGACUCACUGGACCGGUACUGACGCUGAGGAGCGAAAGCGUGGGGAGCGAACAGG